GAUGAACGCUGGCGGCGUGCCUAAUACAUGCAAGUCGAACGAGGUGCUUUUGUAGCAAUACGAGGGUAUCCUAGUGGCGAACGGGUGAGUAACGCGUUGGUGACCUGCCCCAAAGUGCGGGAUAACAGUCCGAAAGGAUUGCUAAUACCGCAUGUGGUUAUCGGGUUUAGAAACCGAUAACUAAAGAAGCAAUUCGCUUUGGGAGGGACCUGCGUCCCAUCAGCUAGUUGGUGAGGUAACGGCUCACCAAGGCGACGACGGGUAGGGGACCUGAGAGGGUGACCCCCCACAAUGGAACUGAAACACGGUCCAUACACCUACGGGUGGCAGCAGUAGGGAAUAUUGCACAAUAGGCGAAAGCCUGAUGCAGCAACGCCGCGUGUGCGAUGAAGGCCUUCGGGUCGUAAAGCACUUUUCUGCGAGAUGAGAAAGGACAGUAUCGUAGGAAUAAGUCUCGGCUAACUACGUGCCAGCAGCCGCAGUAAUAC
rnacentral:rRNA from 1 species